CCUACGGGGGGUAGCAGUGGGGAAUAUUGCACAAUGGGCGCAAGCCUGAUGCAGCGACGCGUGAGCGAAGAAGGUCUUCGGAUCGUAAAGCUCUGUUGUUAGGGAAGAACAAGUACGGGAGGAAAUGACCGUACCUUGACGGUACCUAACGAGGAAGCCACGGCUAGCUACGUGCCAGCAGUCGCGGUAAUACGUAGGUGGCAAGCGUUGUCCGGAAUUAUUGGGCGUAAAGCGCGCGCAGGCGGUCUUUUAAGUCUGAUGUGAAAUCUUGCGGCUCAACCGCAAGCGGUCAUUGGAAACUGGGAGACGUGAGUGCAGAAGAGGAAAGCGGAAGUCCACGUGUAGCGGUGAAAUGCGUAGAGAUGUGGAGGAACACCAGUGGCGAAGGCGGCUUUCUGGUCUGUAACUGACGCUGAGGCGCGAAAGCGUGGGGAGCAAACAGGAUUAGAUACCCCUGUAGUC
rnacentral:rRNA from 1 species